AGAGUCUCAAUUAGAUGGCAUUAGGAAAAAGUACUACUUAACUUUGUUAUAAACAUAAAAUGAAUAUCAGAAUCUCAUACAAUUCGGUACUAAUUCAUUUGAACAAAAUCACUACUCAAAAACCCACUUGGUGUUUAUUCGUAGAAACCCUCAGCUGCAGCAAUAACCAGGCAGCUGAGGUCAACAUGCCUGCCUGGCAUGUCUACAGGGGUAAAUCAGUCAUUUCAUGUCUCCUAUUUGAUUUUACUGCUCGAUCUCAUCUCAUCGUAAGGCACAGAUGACAUAUCACUCUUGUGGAUGGCUACUGCUUCAACGCGUGCCCUCCAUUUUGACAUCUGCAGAAACACCGCCUUUGCCAUUGCAGUUAUAGCUUCCUUCUACUGCAUCUACAUUUUGCUCCACCCUUUGGCAUUCCCAUUUUGCCCUCUGCUUUGUAAAUACAGGAAGAACAGGUUUGCAUUAUAUUGUACGGUGAUGAUAUAGGCCGCUUUUGAACUUUUCAACACUUAUCUGAUCUCAUCCGCCAAUGUUCGCGAGCAAAAACCUUAUUCAUUACGAAUCAACAAACAUGAAUAGGUCGUGGAUAGUUUUACUAUUGUCGAUUGUGUUGAAAGGUAUAACGAGAAAGAAGCAGUCUUGCCUACUCCGACGAGGUUGAAUGUGGUUUCCUUCCUGGAUCUUCAACGACAACCUAUAGGUGUUGAAUUUGGAGGAAACCUUUUUUCUUCAUUAUAUGGGAAGACCUGGCCGACAACAAAGGAACCAAGCUACUGAGACAGCUAAAUGAAUACCCUAUUAUUGUUACGAAGCGGAUAGCUAUGACUGAAUUCCAUAAUGUGCGAUGACUUUCAACAAGGUACAACUCGAUGAUCUUAAUCGAUCCUAUCUACAUGCAAGCGUCUGCCUUAAGAAGCUGGUAUGAAAUAACUUCUUUCGAAACCUCAAACACCGUAACUUCCCAUUAUUUCUUAUCUACAUUACACCUCUUAAUAUUUCUUGCCUGCACAGGGUUAAAGAAAAUGAGAGAAUGUUAAAGGCGUACACCUUGAAAAGCUUAUCGGAUUCGCCUUCGUCGCUCAAUCUUGCCUCUAUUGAAGAUGACAUAUUACCCAUUUCCGCUAUAACUUUGUAUUCUACUGUCAGUUUGCUAACCUGUAUGAUAAGUUUAUUCUCACAAUUAUCUGCCCAAAUAGGUUCAUAUUCAACAUAUAAUACAUAGGUUCAUAUUCAACAUAUAAUACAUACAUUAGCUUUCAUUAUUUUCACACACAUAUAUAUCUGUACUCUACAUAUAAAAAGUUGUGGGUUCAGCUGAAGCCAUCACUUAAUGUUAUAUCUGUUUCUCAUAGGCACAAUAUCUCACCGAAUAUAGAACAAAUCUAAGUUUCAGAACCAUCCCACGUGCUAAAGAUGCAUGACUUCUCAAUUAAUGUCUCAGCUGAAUUAGCUCGUACACAGUAACGUAAUCACCAUUAUAAGAAAAGCAUGUGCCUAUUUAGCUGCAAUUAAUAAGCGGUUAUACUCAUACCUUACGCAAUAGUGACUGCCAUCUUCCAACCUUCUUUUAUUUUGCCUCCUCAUAAUUCAUUUACUGGUUGUAUGCUUUGUUGCUGCAGCUAUUUCCUUUGUACGGUAUAAUACAAACUUAAAUAAAGCCAUUUUUAUACAGUUUUUCUCACCUCUUUGAACAAACUAACUAUAUUUUAUAUGGAAUAGUUGCAAGGCUUUUACGUGGAAGGAGAAAUAUUGUUGGCAGAUCAACCCCAAGAUUUUCAUACACUUGCCUGUUCGGAAUGUAAACACCAUGUCUGAUUUAAACUACAAAGGGAGGUUCAAUGCAUCAAUUGUAAUCUCUGCAGAAUGAUGAUCCCAAGGAAACCACUCUUACUAAUUACAUCACGUUGUCACCACUGGUAAUGACUAUUACCGAGUCUUGCUUCGUAGAAAAAAUUACAACAUAUUAUAUCGCAGGUGUCAAUUUGAGAUUGAAAUAACAGAUGCCAGCGGCGCAACAACAACAACCGUGUCAGACAACUUGGCUGAAAAGCUCUUGUCAUUGACGGCUGAGCAGAUAUAUCACAAUGUCGCUGUGAAGAGUGAAUUGCUGCCUGUUGAACAUAUCAAUCAACAACUUAAAGAUAAACUUUUCAGGCUCCAGUUACAAAAAACGUUACCCAGAACGCCAGACAAAACAGCUGGUACCUUGGUCGUUCUAUCAUAUACUCCACAGGAAACCUUGUGUUUGCCAGGAUCUUCAGCAUUUACAUCCGCGGACCAUGGAAGCAAGAAACAAAAAAUGGAACUGACUACUCCACCGAAGGCUCAUCAGAGGUUAGAAAUAUCAAAUGAAGAUUUCAGCUGAACUGUUAGAAAUUUGUUUGUACACACUAUUGAAACUGAGAUUAUUCCAAUUUGU